rnacentral:rRNA from 1 species
AUUGAACGCUGGCGGCAGGCCUAACACAUGCAAGUCGAGCGCGCGGCGGACGGGUGUGUAAUGUAUGGGUACUGCCCGCUAGAGGGGGAUAACUACUGGACACGGUGGCUAAUACCGCCUACUAUCGGAUAACCCAUAUGGGAUUAGCUAGUAGGUGGGGUAAAGGCUCACCUAGGCGACGAUCCCUAGCUGGUCUGAGAGGAUGAUCAGGCCCACUGGAACGGAAACACGGCCCAGACCCCCACGGAGGCAGCAGAGGGGAAUAGUGCACAAGGGGCGCAGGGCUGAUGUAGCCAUGCCGCGUGGAUGAAGAGGGCGUGAGGGUUUUAAUGUACUUUCAGCGGGGAGGCGUUACCCGCAGAAGAAGCACCGGCUAACUCCGUGCCAGCAGCCGCGGUAAUAC